CCUGCCGGACCUGACUGCUAUCGGAUUGAUACUAAGCCAUGCGAGUCUUUGUAGUAAUACAAGGCAUACGGCUCAGUAACACGUAGUCAACCUACCCUAUGGACAAGAAUAAUCUCGGGAAACUGGGCAUAAUCCUUGAUAGAUCAUAAUGCCUGGAAUGGUUUAUGGUUAAAAUGAUUCGUCGCCAUAGGAUGGGACUGCGGCCUAUCAGCUUGUUGGUGAGGUAAUGGCCCACCAAGGCGAUUACAGGUACGGGCUCUGAGAGGAGAAGCCCGGAGAUGGGUACUGAGACACGGACCCAGGCCCUAUGGGGCGCAGCAGGCGAGAAAACUUUGCAAUGUGCGAAAGCACGACAAGGUUAAUCCGAGUGAUUUCUGCUAAAGAAAUCUUUUGCCAGUCAUAAAACCACUGGUGAAUAAGGGGUGGGCAAGUUCUGGUGUCAGCCGCCGCGGUAAAACCAGCACCUCAAGUGGUCAGGAUGAUUAUUGGGCCUAAAGCAUCCGUAGCCGGCUUUGUAAGUUUUCGGUUAAAUCCAUGUGCUCAACGCAUGGGCUGCCGAAAAUACUGCAUGGCUAGGGAGUGGGAGAGGUAGACGGUACUCAGUAGGAAGGGGUAAAAUCCUUUGAUCUAUUGACGACCACCUGUGGCGAAGGCGGUCUACCAGAACACGUUCGACGGUGAGGGAUGAAAGCUGGGGGAGCAAACCGGAUUAGGUACCCGGGUAGUCCCAGCUGUAAACGAUGCAGACUCGAUGAUGCAUUGGCAUAAUAGCCAGUGCAGUGUCGCAGGGAAGCCGUUAAGUCUGCCGCCUGGGAAGUACGUACGCAAGUAUGAAACUUAAAGGAAUUGGCGGGGAGCACACAAGGGUGAAGCUGCGGUUCAAU
rnacentral:rRNA from 1 species